ensembl:lncRNA
AGCCUUAAAUUUUUUUAAAUCCUAAAAUUCAAAGGUGAUUGACUAAUGUCAUGCUUAUCCAAUAUUCUUCAAAUAAAACCCAACUUUUGCAAAAGUGAUGAAGUCAGGAAAAUCUAUUCACGAAAAAGAAAAUGUCCUGACUCCACUUCUUUUUACUAGCAUCUCUACAUAAUUUCCCCCCUUUCUAACAGAUGAAUAAGUCAUGGAAAAUGUUUUGUUUGUGGAACGGCAGGAGUAUUGUUUGUAUGUUGUUAGUGCAAAGAAAGUAGUGGGAUUCAAUGACCUCUCUCAAAAUCUAAAAUCUGCAUCAUAAGCAUUCUUCUUUAGUCCCUAGAAGUAUUUAUAUUGGCAUACAUUACAUGACCUAGAGGUCAGAUAAAAGCAAUUGCUGCAUCCAUAGGGAAGUUUUUGAUUAAGAUUGCUGAACUAAUGCACAGUUGGUUUGAGUUCAUGAUCACUACAUUCACCAACUGUUUUUACUAUAUACAAAUCAUUCUGGUUAAAAUGGCCUAUGAGAAGCAUAUUUAAUCCACUGAUUAAAUGGCAUGGCCAGUGCAUGUGCUCAGUUGUCACAUAAGAAGUUUUUACUAUUCCACAUAAUUGAAUGUUUCUGCAUAUAUUCAAUAAUCACUUUUGGACAUCAAAAUCUGCUUUAGUUUACUUCAUCUAUAAUGUAUUUGUCUUUAAAGUAUAUUUAGUCACCAUAAGUGACUUUGCUACAGGUAUACACUGGAGGAUGAGUGUGUUACAAGAACAUAGAGUAGUGUUACAGAAUUUCACUUCCAAGGCCAAGCUCUAUAACACGUGCUCGUGUACACACAUACACACACACACACACACACACACACACACACACACUUUCUGAAGGUAAAUUAUUAAGAUGUCUUCUGGAAUGAACUGUUAAAUUUUUCCCAUUAUUAGCAGCAGUUCUGAAAAUGAGUGUGGGGAUGCUUUUUUCGGGCUUUAAAAUCUUUUUUGGCUACUUAUCCUCUCGGUCCAUUUCAUCAGUUCUUUCAAGCCUUUACCAUUUCUACAAUUUCCCCUAUGUGGGCAAUAUAAUUAUGUAACAUUUUUUCCUUUCUCCUCCCUUUUUAUUAUUUUCUACUCUGAGGAGUUGUGUCCAUCCUCCUCUCCACCAAUCUCCUUUCAAGAAAGGCAAAGUGGUUAAUAAUGGUAAAUAAUAUAUGUUGGCUAUAGGUUGUCCAGGAUUUGAGGCCUUCACAAACAGUUACCUCUUCUGCACUUGAUGGGAAGUACUUGAUUGAUUUUCAAAUACACAAAUGUGUUGAUCUAACUUAAUAUUAUUAUUGGAAGGUUAAAUUUUACCCAGAAAGGUGAGUACAAUUGACCUGAAUGGCAAAUUAUAUAAUUUUCUGAUAUCAGAGAUUUUGACAUUACUUACCUAUGUGACAAUUAGAUUUUCUAUUUAACUUUUAAAACAAUUUCAAGCCCCAUUUAAGUACUGGAUUGUAUCUUCAUAAAAGUAUUGUUUUGUAUAUUUCAAACCAUCUCAGUGCUUUCUGAAUUUAGAGAGCUGCUGCAAAGACAAAUCUUAGGAAAUACCACUUGUAAGACGUUCAGUCAAACAGUUUCUCAGCAGAUAGAUACAUCUGCUUCACCUAUGAUAGUAGCUCUCUUUUGUCCCUGAACUAAUUUUUCUUAUUAAAAAGUAAGAAAAAGAGUGUCAUUUGAAAUUUCACAUUUCAAGACUUUCUCUAGAAGUGAAUGGAGGGCAUCUUUCUCAGGCUUUGUAGUUGUGGCUGGCAGUGAGCAAUAGCCAUUAUUUGCUUGAAAUCACAAUACAAUUUGUAUGAACUUAUGUAUGUUGCCAAGACAUGAUCUUUUUGUUGUUACUGUAUUUUCUGUAAAUAUUUCUGGCACUAAAUUGUAAAGUAAAGACAACAUGUAAAUAUGAAGAUGUGAACUCUGUUCCCUCCUCUCUAGUAUUUUAUCUCUUUGUUAGAGAAGGCACAGAAGCUUGUUUGUAUUUAUGCCAAUUCUUUGUCCAGAAGAAACACAUGGAAUACUGAAUGUAAC